rnacentral:rRNA from 1 species
UACGUAGGGUGCAAGCGUUAAUCGGAAUUACUGGGCGUAAAGCGUGCGCAGGCGGUUCGCUAAGGCAGAUGUGAAAUCCCCGGGCUUAACCUGGGAACUGCAUUUGUGACUGGCGGGCUAGAGUAUGGCAGAGGGGGGUAGAAUUCCACGUGUAGCAGUGAAAUGCGUAGAGAUGUGGAGGAAUACCGAUGGCGAAGGCAGCCCCCUGGGCCUAUACUGACGCUCAUGCACGAAAGCGUGGGGAGCAAACAGG